rnacentral:tRNA from 1 species
UCCCUGGUGGCUCAGAUGGUAAAACGUCUGCCUACAAUGCAGGAGACCCAGGUUUGAUCCCUGGGUCGGGAA